UAACGCGUGGGUAACCUGCCUCAUACAGGGGGAUAACAGUUGGAAAUGGCUGCUAAUACCGCAUAAGCGCACGGCAUCGCAUGAUGCAGUGUGAAAAACUCCGGUGGUGUGAGAUGGAUCCGCGUCUGAUUAGGUAGUUGGUGGGGUAACGGCCCACCAAGCCGACGAUCAGUAGCCGACCUGAGAGGGUGACCGGCCACAUUGGGACUGAGACACGGCCCAA
rnacentral:rRNA from 1 species